rnacentral:rRNA from 1 species
UACGUAGGGGGCAAGCGUUGUCCGGAUUUAUUGGGCGUAAAGAGCGUGUAGGCGGCUUGGUAGGUCCGCUGUGAAAACUCGAGGCUCAACCUCGAGAUGUCGGCGGAAACCACUUGGCUAGAGUCCGGAAGAGGAGAGUGGAAUUCCCGGUGUAGCGGUGAAAUGCGCAGAUAUCGGGAAGAACACCUAUGGCGAAGGCAGCUCUCUGGGACGGUACUGGACGCUGAGACGCGAAAAGCGUGGGGAGCGAACAGG